ACUCAAAGGAAUUGACGGGGGCCCGCACAAGCGGAGGAACAUGUGGUUUAAUUCGAUGAUACGCGAGGAACCUUACCUGGGCUUGAACGUAGAGAGACUUUUUGUGAAAGCAGAAUUCCCUUCGGGGCUGUCUACGAGGUGCUGCAUGGUUGUCGUCAGCUCGUGCCGUGAGGUGUCGGAUUAAGUUCCAUAACGAGCGCAACCCUUAUCGUUAGUUGCCAGCGGGUAAUGCCGGGGACUCUAACGAAACUGCCGGUGUAAACCGUGAGGAAGGUGGGGAUGACGUCAAAUCAGCACGGCCCUUACGUCCAGGGCCACACACGUGUUACAAUGGCCAGUACAGAGGGCAGCUACACCGUGAGGUGAUGCUAAUCUCCAAAACUGGUCUCAGUUCGGAUUGAAGUCUGCAACUCGACUUCAUGAAGCUGGAUUCGCUAGUAAUCGCGCAUCAGCCAUGGCGCGGUGAAUACGUUCCCGGGCCUUGUACACACCGCCCGU
rnacentral:rRNA from 1 species